rnacentral:rRNA from 1 species
UAAUACCAGCACCUCGAGUGGUCAGGACGUUUAUUGGGCCUAAAGCAUCCGUAGCCGGCUUUGCAAGUCUUCGGUUAAAUCCACCUGCUCAACAGAUGGGCCGCUGGAGAUACUACAAAGCUAGGGAGUGGGAGAGGCAGACGGUAUUCAGUGGGUAGGGGUAAAAUCCUCUGAUCCAUUGAGGACCACCAGUGGCGAAGGCGGUCUGCCAGAACACGUUCGACGGUGAGGGAUGAAAGCUGGGGGAGCAAACCGGAUUAGAUACCCGGGUAGUCCCAGCUGUAAACGAUGCAAACUCGGUGAUGCAUUGGCUUAUGGCCAAUGCAGUGCCGCAGGGAAGCCGUUAAGUUUGCCGCCUGGGAAGUACGGACGCAAGUCUGAAACUUAAAUGAAUUGACGGCGAUAGCUGA